rnacentral:rRNA from 1 species
AUUCCAGCUCCAAUAGCGUAUAUUAAAGUUGUUGUGGUUAAAAAGCUCGUAGUUGGAUUUCGGCGGGUAGUGGUUGGUUUGAAUUGAUUCAACACUGACUUUUUUACCCGUGUGUUUUGCCAGAAUCUUACGGGUGAUCUUUACCGAUUGUCCGUUGGAACUGGCAGGUUUACUUUGAAAAAAUUAGAGUGCUCAAAGCAAGCUUACUGCUUGAAUAGUUGCGCAUGGAAUAAUAGAAUAGGAAGUCGUUUCUAUUUUGUUGGUUUUCGGAAAUCGACUUAAUGAUUAAUAGGGAUAGUUGGGGGCAUUAGUAUUUAUUAGCUAGAGGUGGAAUUCUCUAAUUUGAUAAAGACUAACUUAUGCGAAAGCAUUUGCCAAGGAUGUUUUCAUUA